CAGGUCAUGAAUCAUAUACUUGCAUGUCUUUGGUCAUAUACAAAUGUCAUUUUUUUCUGUUGUUAUUUGUAGAAAUGAAGUAUUGAUGGUAGAUCUGUGAUGGUAUCUAUUCAUCAAAACUCUUUUUACAAUCUGGAUGAAUUAAAUAUAAAGAUAAGAUGUGGUAUGAAAGUCAAUAUAACAGUUAUCAAAGUACAAGGAUGUUAACAACUACAGCUUCAACAAGCUUAACACUUUGUAAAGACACCUGUCUAUCUAUCACUUUAAAUCAAAGAGAAAUAACUCAAUCACAUAAUGAAAAGGUCUAAAACUUGACCUUCAUUUAGUCACAGGAAACAACACACUAAUAUCUAAAUUUUUUUAAAUUUCGUCAAAGCAUUUUCAUGUUUUUGUACGGACACUGUUAUCCAAAUCAAUAACUAAUUUUGACUUCGAAAAUUCGGUUGAAAAGAGAAGAUUUGGUAUGAUUUCCAAUGAGACAACUAUCCACCAACUACAGGUUGAGUUCAAGAUGUGGUUUGUUAAUCAUGUCAUGGGUCAAUAAUGCAUUGGUGUUUAGGUAUAUCCUUUAUUCAUUUAUUUAUACCAUUAACCAGGUGCUCUGCAGGGCACAGCUUUAUACGACCCCAGUGGUUGAAUGCUGAACAGUUGGGGCAAAUUUGGUCACAAAAUUCAAGCUUGAUACUGUUUGAAUUUGGAUUGUUAUCAAAUUUUUGACAUAACAUAGGAUUUUGUCACAAAAUUAAUGCGGUCAAAGAUCUAACAAAUUUAUUGCGCAACUGUGCAAUUGAAGAUUUCUUCUUGAAACUUUUCAAAAUUCAAAAUUUGAAAAAUUCAAAAAAAAAAAGGAAAAACAAUUUUUUUGAAACCCCCCUUGGAUCAUUAACCCUUAAACUCAAUCUCAUGCUUUCCUUUGUAGUAUUGAACCUUGUAGUACAAUUUCAGAGAGAUCAAUACACUUAAACACAAGUUAUCGUCAUGAUUGUUUGGAAACUAGAAACAUGCUUCUUUUUGGCCCUUUAUUUACCCCUUAUUUCUACAUAUUUUGGACAAUUAACCCAAAACUUAAUCCCAGCCUCCCCUUUGUUAUAUGAUACAUUGUGGUACAAUUUCAGAGACAUCCACACAAUUACACACAAGUUAUUGUCUGGAAACUAGAAAGAUGAUUGUUUUGGCCCCUUUUUGGCCCUUUAUUUCUAAACUUUGGCCCCAAAGCUCCUGAAAUGAAUCCAAACCUUCUACUUGUGAUUUUAAACAUUGCGGUAUAAUUUCAGAGCAAUUGAAAUACUUGUACACAAGUAAUUAUCCUGAAACUAAAAAAUUGUUUGUUAUGGGCCCUUUUUUAGCCCCUAAUUCCUAAACGGUUGAGAACAUCAUCCCCAAAAUCAAUCCCAAUCUUCCUUUUGUUCAAUACCACCUUCUGAAAAAAUUCAUAAAGAUCUAUUCCCUUAAACUCAAGUUAUUAUCAGGAAACCAAUGUGUCUUCGGACAACGACGACAUCAUACCAUUAUACGAUCCCCAAAAAAUUUAGGGGUCAUAUAAUAAUCAAUAAAAUAAACAAUCUAAAUAUAACAUCACUUAAACGUUUAUCACAAAAAAAAUAACAUAGUAAACAUUUCAAAAAUAUGAUUGUAUUAAAAUGUGUAAAAUUAUUAAUAUUAUCGAUAAAAUGAAACAAAUCUCUUAAAGUAAUAUGAAACCUCAAAUUUGAAAAAAAGUUGAACAUGUAUUAUAUACAUCAAUGGCUAAGUUUUACUCUAUAAGAAGUGAAUGUGAUAAUUUUUUUCAAAGAAAAUACUUUAUAUGAUAAAAUUCAUCAUAAAUGAACAGUUAUUUAAUAAUUGGCUUCCCAGACACUAAUCACCAAUGAUUUUCCAUAUGCAGUGACUUAUCUAACCGACCUAGUGUUUUAACUUCCACCCCACAGUGUGCAAGUGCAAGGGGAAAACCAUAAUGAAAUAAUGUAAACACACAUUCUUUUGAAGGUAAAUAGAAAAAAAAGGUUCUUAAACAAAUCAUUUAACAACUGUUAAGGGCAACGAUACAGUUACAGCGGAAGUAAUGACGUUGCUAACGUAAAUUGUUAUUUUCGCGACAUCAAACUAUGACUUUUCGAAAAUUCAGUUUUGGACUGAUUUUUUUCAUUCAAACUUAUUUAACUUGAAAACGAGUUCAUGGACCCCUCUUUUUUAAAAUGCCAUUUGAUUUGUUUACUUGAGAAGAUUAAGUGUGCCAAUUUUCAUGAAAAUGUAAAUAGUGCCAUUUUUUUAAAUUUGAUAAAAAAACAGCAAAAAAUUAUGUUUUUUUCUACAUUCAUGACCAUUUGAUAAAUAUGAGUUAUUUCUGAAUAAAUUUUUAGGAUACUUAUAAAAUACAAAAAAUUAAAAUUAUUUAACAGAAAACAAUUUGUGUUUAUCUUUUUAAACAAAAAAGUUUUGUCUUU
rnacentral:lncRNA from 1 species